UAUCAAUGAGCACAGUAUUCAUGUCUGUACUGUUACAUUACAGCACUUUAAUGCAGAUUUGUCAUUUUCCACAAGAUAAGAGCUCUUCUCUGCAGCACAGACUUUGUUCUUAAAUCUGUUCUUGCUUCUUUACUGUAUUUUAAGGUUUAAAAAACCCCAAAUAUGAUAAGUACAAGUGUCUACAGAGCUGUGUACAUAGAUUCAUACACGUUCUUUUCUUCACAGGGUCAAAAGAUACUCUGGGCAGUGAUGACUCUGGUGGUAGCUCUGGUGGUAGCUCUCGUGGUAGCUCUCGUGGUGGCUCUGAUGACUCUGGUGUGGCUGGCUGCAAUGGAAAUAGGGCCACAUGAAAAUCUCCACAAAAACCAUCGUUACCAUCAGCCGCACUGCUUCUGUGGAACUAAUGGAACCUGUUCAACAAAUCCAUUUACUUCUGGGGAGGGGAGAGAAAUUAAAGUGGGAGUUUGAAAACCAGAAGAAUAAUUCAACUUUAACAGUCAUGAAGAAGAAUGAACAAUUGAAUAAUCCUAAAAGAGACUACAUUGGUUUUUUUAAAGUGUUUUCCAGAUUAAAUACAAUAAACUGGCCUCAACCACAUUGGGAAAUAUGUCUAAAAACAUCAGUGAUGAGGAUGAAGAUUAGCAGUAAAAAGGCUUUGUAGCUGUAACGUUUCAGCAGUGAGCCUGAACAGUGUAGUAGGGGGUUUAGGUUUGAACUUGUGUGAUUGUUUGAAGUGUUGAAAUUGCUAGAAUAAGACGUUGUCACACUCACUUUGUCACUAGGAAAACAAACAUCACCUUUGAGAGCAGUGCUACCUGAAGUCAUGGUUCAAAGAACUGGUAAUGCUGUGAAUAAUGCUUGUUGGAUAUGGGUUAAGAACUCGCAAGUCAGGUGGAGAAUCAGGAAAGCAUUUAGAAAAAAGUAAUUUGUUAUAAA